rnacentral:tRNA from 1 species
GCGCCUGUAGCUCAGCGGAUAGAGCGCUGGACUCCGGAUCCGGAGGUCGUAGGUUCGAAUCCUAUCAGGCGCGCCA